UUUUGGGGUUAUACAAUAUUGACAUCGACGAUAAUAAUGAUAUCAAUUUUGAUUUGGACGACGAUGAUUUAAUCAUACGUAUUCCAAAACGUUAUAUUCGAGAUGUGCAAGAUCCGUUUGAUUUUUAUUCAGACAUCGAAUUCAAGCAAAGAUAAAGAUUUGACAAGGAUAGUGUUAAAUUUGGAAUAUUACCUCUUAUAGAACAAAAUUUAACUAAAGUCAAUAAACAAGGAUUACCAAUUCCACCAAUUUUUCAAUUAUUAAUAUGUUUGCGAUUUUAUGCAACUGCAAGUUUUCAGCUCAUUUUAGGUGAUACCAUGACAGUAUCACAACCAACAGUUUCCAGAAUAGUUUUUCGGGUGAGCGUUUUACUUGCAAGCAAAAUUCGUGAUUACAUUAAAAUGCCUCGAACUCAAGCAGCAAAAUUAGAAAACCAGAGACUUUUUGAACGUUUGGGAUUUGGUAAUGGAGCAAUUGGAAUACCCGGGGUUGAUGGAGCAAUUGAUUGCACUCAUAUCCGAUUAGUUCAUACAAGGUUUCAAAAUAUUAAUGAAAUCUACAGAAAUUGAAAGGGCUAUGUUUCUCUGAAUGUACAAACGAUUGUUGGCCCACGGAUGGAAUUUUUAGAUAUUGUUCCAGAAUAGCCUGGUAGCGCUCAUGAUAGUCGAAUUUUUCAAAAUUCUCGAAUUUUCAUGAGAUAUUCUGAACGUGAAUUAACUGGGAUACUUGUCGGUGUUGCUGGAUAUCCAUGCCUACCUUUUCUAAUGACGCCCAUUGCCAAUCCAGUUACAGAUGAACAAAUAACCUAUAAUAAUAUCCAGAACAGAACUCGAAUAAUAGUUGAAAGGACUUACGGUGUUUGGAAGCGAAGAUUUCCUUGUUUAUUAAGAGGAUUAACGAAUAAAC